AAUUUGCUUUUCUUCUAUGAGAUUUUAUCCUUGGUCAGCUUGAGGUAGUGCAUUGCAAAGAAAUCAAUCAAUCCUGCCUGAUCUUUCAAGUCUGCAAAAACCUAAAUGGGCUUUUACAUAGAAGAUGCCCAAAAGACAUGAUCUUCAUCUUCUGCAACAUGGAAGAAGAUAGCUAAUCUCAAAUUCAUACAAUGAAAAUGCCUGCCAACCAAUACAAACAUACUUUCGUUUAGAGGAAGUCUAAGGAUAUGUUGCACCAUAAGUUGCAAAUUACAAUUCUUCUAGAGGACAGAGAGAAGGAAGAAGAUUUGAGACACAGAGACGCAGAGGCACAGAGAAGAGGCCAUAUGAAGAAAGAGGCAGAGAUUGAAAUCACACAUGAGGCUCCAAGCUGGGUAACACCAAGAGCUGUAGGCAGCCACCAGAAGCUAGGAGAGAAGCAUGCAACAUAUUCUCCCUCAAAUUUCCAGAGGAACUACCCUGCUGACACCUUGAUUUUGAAUUUCUAGCCUCCAGAACUAUGACAGAAUACCCUUCUCUAGUU